UACGGAGGGUGCGAGCGUUAAUCGGAAUUACUGGGCGUAAAGGGUGCGUAGGUGGUUGAUUAAGUUAUCUGUAAAAUCCCUGGGCUUAACCUGGGCAGGUCAGAUGAUACUGAUUGACUCGAGUAUGGGAGAGGGUAGUGGAAUUUCCGGUGUAGCGGUGAAAUGCGUAGAGAUCGGAAGGAACACCAGUGGCGAAGGCGGCUACCUGGCCUAAUACUGACACUGAGGCACGAAAGCGUGGGGAGCAAACAGG
rnacentral:rRNA from 1 species